CUUGUUUCCUCACAAAAGGAACAUGGCACACACAGACUCUACUGCUAAUGGACGGCUGGGUGGAAAUCUAACAGCUCACUCCAUGCAGUGUAACCGAUCUUGUGGAUGGACACUUAAAAAACAGCGUCAGACACAACAGUCUGUAAACAGCCUGGUAACAGCCAGGCCCUGGUUUCUCUUCGUUCAGGAGGUCUGGACCCCCUGCUGUUGGGAAACGACGGC